GACGAACGCUGGCGGCGUGCCUAAUACAUGCAAGUUGAGCGAUGAAGAUUGGUGCUUGCACCAAUUUGAAGAGCAGCGAACGGGUGAGUAACGCGUGGGGAAUCUGCCUUUGAGCGGGGGACAACAUUUGGAAACGAAUGCUAAUACCGCAUAACAACUUUAAACAUAAGUUUUAAGUUUGAAAGAUGCAAUUGCAUCACUCAAAGAUGAUCCCGCGUUGUAUUAGCUAGUUGGUGAGGUAAAGGCUCACCAAGGCGAUGAUACAUAGCCGACCUGAGAGGGUGAUCGGCCACAUUGGGACUGAGACACGGCCCAAACUCCUACGGGAGGCAGCAGUAGGGAAUCUUCGGCAAUGGACGAAAGUCUGACCGAGCAACGCCGCGUGAGUGAAUAAGGUUUUCGGAUCGUAAAACUCUGUUGGUAGAGAAGAACGUUGGUGAGAGUGGAAAGCUCAUCAAGUGACGGUAACUACCCAGAAAGGGACGGCUAACUACGUG
rnacentral:rRNA from 1 species